rnacentral:lncRNA from 1 species
UCCAAUCCUUGUGGACCUAUCAAACUUUCACCACCAAAAAAAAAAAAAAAAUGGAUGCCCUGAUUUACACUCCUCAUUUUUUAUCUUGUCCUUUUUGCCUGUUUUAUGGAAACACUCCUACUACAUCUGUUUCAUCUAUGGAUACUCAGCGGAACAAUCUGCAAACGCUGUUUCUUAGCAACCUAAUCACGCCACCUGAUCUCAGACCAUCUUUGAACCAUUGGAGCUACAUUUAGCUUCAGUGUUGCUUCCCAAAAACCCAAGGAAGAACAUUUAAAACUUCAUGACAUGAACAGGGUGCAAAGAUUACCUUUCUUUCAGUUGCAGCAUGAAAUUCAAGUUUACUGAGGGUCCUGAUAAUGAAAGAAAGCACUCUUAGAAAGAUAAAUCCAAAGGC